UACGUAGGGGGCAAGCGUUGUCCGGAUUUAUUGGGCGUAAAGAGCGUGUAGGCGGCCAUACAGGUCAGCUGUGAAAACUCGAGGCUCAACCUCGAGACGUCGGUUGAAACCGUAUGGCUAGAGUCCGGAAGAGGAGAGUGGAAUUCCCGGUGUAGCGGUGAAAUGCGCAGAUAUCGGGAAGAACACCGGUGGCGAAGGCGGCAUCUGGCCCAUUUUUGACGCUGAGCUGCGAAA
rnacentral:rRNA from 1 species